CUUUCCCCGUCUUCCUGGUCGUUCUUCGGGGUCUCCGCCGCCGGAGGGUUCGAUUUUGCUUCCCCGAGUUCUUCCUCCGCCCCUUUCUUCGCCCGAGUUCUGGUUCGUCUGGGUUCUUUGUAGCUGGUCUGCUUCGCUCGUCUCCAUCAAUGGCGGCGGAAGAGGGAAGUCUGGUUUGUUUUCGCUAUGAUUUUAGGUGGGUUCGGUAGGAUUCGUGCUGUUCCGAGAUUCCUACUAUUCCUCUGCAGCUCAACACCUCAGGCGCCAUGCUAGGUAUGAAGGUGGAAUUUACAUCAUGUUGUAUGCGGAAAUUUGGACCGAGAAGUUUAUGAAAUAUUUCACCAAGGAAAUCGUUCCAAAAUAUACUAUGCUGAAGGCCUUUGACAUGUACUGUAUCCAAAAUGAGGUUGCUGUAAUAGUUUGAAAAGAAUAAGAAAGGCAAGU